UGGGGAAUUUUGCACAAUGGGGGAAACCCUGAUGCAGCGACGCCGCGUGAUUUAGAAGGCCUUCGGGUUGUAAAAAUCUUUUGUAUGGGAAGAAAAUGACAGUACCAUACGAAUAAGGACCGGCUAAUUACGUGCCAGCAGCCGCGGUAAUACGUAAGGUCCGAGCGUUGUCCGGAAUCAUUGGGCGUAAAGGGUACGUAGGCGGAUAAGCAAGUUAGAAGUGAAAUCCUAUAGCUCAACUAUAGUAAGCUUUUAAAACUGCUCAUCUUGAGGUAGGGAAGGGAAAGUGGAAUUCCUAGUGUAGCGGUGAAAUGCGCAGAUAUUAGGAGGAAUACCGGUGGCGAAGGCGACUUUCUGGCCAUAUACUGACGCUGAGGUACGAAAGCGUGGGUAGCAAACAGG
rnacentral:rRNA from 1 species